GAACCUGUUAUUCGAAAGCCUAGUGUCGC
rnacentral:sRNA from 1 species